rnacentral:rRNA from 1 species
AUACGGGGGGUGCAAGCGUUAAUCGGAAUUACUGGGCGUAAAGCGCGCGUAGGCGGUUUGCUCAGUCGGAUGUGAAAGCCCAGGGCUCAACCUUGGAACUGCAUACGAUACUGGCAAACUAGAGUGUGAGAGAGGAUAGUGGAAUUUCCGGUGUAGCGGUGAAAUGCGUAGAUAUCGGAAGGAACAUCAGUGGCGAAGGCGACUGUCUGGCUCAACGCUGACGCUGAGGUGCGAAAGCGUGGGUAGCAAACAGGAUUAGAUACCCCAGUAGUCC